rnacentral:rRNA from 1 species
UACAGAGGUGGCAAGCGUUGUUCGGAAUUACUGGGCGUAAAGGGCGCGUAGGCGGCCUUCUAAGUCAGACGUGAAAUCCCCCGGCUCAACCUGGGAACUGCGUCUGAUACUGGAGGGCUUGAGUGCGGGAGAGGGAUGUGGAAUUCCAGGUGUAGCGGUGAAAUGCGUAGAUAUCUGGAGGAACACCGGUGGCGAAGGCGGCAUCCUGGACCGACACUGACGCUGAGGCGCGAAAGCUAGGGUAGCAAACGGG